UAAAAUGCCAAAAAUGAAUGUGGAAAAAAAAGAAAAGAAGGCAGAAAAAAGAAAAAAGCUAAAGCAACGUGUGGCCCAGAAGGGAGAGCUGGAAUCGGAAACGGAACCAAAGAAAAAGAAACAAAACCUGCAGGUAGCAAAAGAAAGGAUG